rnacentral:rRNA from 1 species
UACGUAGGGCGCAAGCGUUGUCCGGAAUUAUUGGGCGUCAAGAGCUCGUAGGCGGUUUGUCGCGUCUGCUGUGAAAACCCGAGGCUCAACCUCGGGCCUGCAGUGGGUACGGGCAGACUAGAGUGCGGUAGGGGAGAUUGGAAUUCCUGGUGUAGCGGUGGAAUGCGCAGAUAUCAGGAGGAACACCGAUGGCGAAGGCAGAUCUCUGGGCCGUAACUGACGCUGAGGAGCGAAAGCGUGGGGAGCGAACAGG